CCGGUGAAUUAUUCGGACUGACGCAGUGCUCAGCUUCUGGACGUUGCGUCGGAAAGUUUCAUGAACCUUAUCUUAUCACUUAGAGGAAGGAGAAGUCGUAACAAGGUUUCCGUAGGUGAACCUGCGGAAGGAUCAUUC
rnacentral:rRNA from 1 species